GCUUAUCACCAUUCCACAAUGAAUAUACCCCAUCUCGCCUGAUCUCGGAAGUCAAGCAAUCUCGGGCUUGGUUAGUACUUGGAUGGG
rnacentral:rRNA from 1 species